UCAGGAGUAGCUCAGUGGUAGAGCAACCGGCUGUUAACCGGUUGGUCGGGGGUUCGAAUCCCUCCUCCUGAGCCA
rnacentral:tRNA from 1 species